rnacentral:rRNA from 1 species
AUUUUUAUGGAGAGUUUGAUCCUGGCUCAGGAUGAACGCUGGCGGCGUGCCUAAUACAUGCAAGUCGAGCGAACAGACGAGGAGCUUGCUCCUCU